rnacentral:rRNA from 1 species
CAGAUUCUAAUACUGCCCCUGAUUUUUAUUAAAGGGCUGCAGUAUUUUGACUGUACAAAGGUAGCAUAAUCAUUAGUCUUUUAAUUGAAGACUUGUAUGAAGGAUUUGAUGAAAUAUAAACUGUCUCUUAAUUAUAUAUAGAAUUUAAUUUUUUAGUUAAAAAGCUAAAAUUAAUUUAAAAGACGAGAAGACCCUAUAGAGUUUUAUAGUUAUUAAUAUAAGAUAUUUAUAUAAAAUUUUAAUAUUUAAAAUUUAUAAUUAUUAUAUUGGGGUGAUAAAAAAAUUAGUUAAACUUUUUUUUUUUUUUACAAAAAAAAAGGAGUAAUUGACCCAUUAUAAGGAUUAAAAAAAAAAUUCCCUUAGGGAUAACAGCGUAAUAUUUUUUUUUAGUCCAAAAAAAAAAAAAAUUUGGGGCCCCCGUUUUGGGUUUAAAAAAAAUUUUAAGGGCAAAAUUUUAAAUUUUUGUCCGGUUCGACCUUUAAAAUUUUACUGGAUCGGAUUUCAAACGGGG